GAACAAUAAUACCAGCUGGAGACUGAUUUUCUCUGGGAAUUUAAUAGCUACAUAACCAUUAGACUUAGAAAGCAGCUACUUACGGUUUUCUAACAUGCAGCUAAACUGGACACUUCUUUUGGGUCUCUUUCUGCCAUCAUGCAGUGGAUGUUCCAUUGGAUUUAAACUUGUUAAAAACACAUGUGUUGAUAUAACCAGUUCUCCAGAGACCUAUACUGACUCACCUAUACCUAUACCGACUCAGACCUCAACUGGCCCUGAAGCAGGAUGGAAAGAUAGAACCAGUUCUCCAGAGACCUAUACCAACUCUGAUUUAAUCCAGUUUCAGACCUCAACUGGCCCUGAAGCAGGAUGGAAAGACAUUGAUGAGUGUAAAGAUGAUCCAGAUGUUUGCGGCACGAAUGCCGACUGCUUCAGUCAUCCAGGUGGCUACAGCUGCAAAUGCCACAAGGGUUACAGUAACUAUGGCAACAACCAGUCAAAAUGCAUCAAAAUGGAUUGUGAUCAGUUUGAACCUGAAUCUGAAGCAAACCACACACCAGAGAAGUUGAAGCAUUUGAUGUCACUGUUGAAGAGCAGCUGUGAGUCUCUGAACAAUCCACGUGGAGAACAUUUCACUGGAGAGGAAUUACUGGAGAGCUUGUGCAGUUCCUCUGACGACCUGCUGUCGGAUGGAAACAUCCAUGAUGGGAAGAUGUUGAGUCACUUUUUGGACGCGAUGGAGAACAGCAUGCGUCUGAUUGGACCUCAGCUGAGAGAGCCUGUGACCAGGAUGGAGACGCACAACACCUUUGUUGAAGUUGCAGUCACACGGAACCAGUCUCCGCCCAGUGGGCGUUUCAUUCUGAGCACAGACUCCGCCCUUUUCAAUGCCAGCUGGGAAGCAGUUGUAGGGGAUUCAUAUCCAGGUUUUGCGUUUGCGGCUCUGGUCAGUUAUAAAGAUUUGAACUCCUCCAGCGAUCUGCUCCAGAAGAUGAGAAAUGAGAAAUCAGACGAUAAAGAGAGAAGUGUCACUUAUCAACUCAACUCUAAAGUGGUGACGGCCGUCGUCAGUAAUGCAGAAACCAAACAGCUGUCAGAGCCGGUGAAGCUCGUCUUUAGACACGUGGAGGAGAUGGCAGAGUCUGAGGGCAUGGUUUACUCCUGUGUGUACUGGGAUGAUACUGAGGGGGCGUGGUCUAAGGAGGGCUGUGUGGGGGCGUGGUCUAACAGCACUCAUACAGUGUGUUACUGGUCUCAUUUCAGUAGUUUUGCUGUGCUCAUGGCUCUCUAUCCUGUGCAGGACUCAUUUGAUUUGGUGUUGAUCACACGUGUGGGUUUAGUUCUGUCUCUGGUCUGUUUGUUUAUCUCUAUCUUGACGUUCAAGUUCUGCCGCUCCAUCCAAGGAACCCGGACCAGCAUUCAUCUCCAUCUGAGCAUCUGUCUCUUCAUCGCAGAUCUCGUCUUCCUCUGCGGGAUCUCCAGUACUCACAAUGAGGUAGCGUGUGCGAUUGUGGCCGGUCUGCUCCAUUUCUUCUUCUUGUCUGCGUUCUGCUGGAUGCUGCUGGAGGGGGUUCAGCUCUACCGGAUGGUUGUGCUGGUGUUUCACACCACAUUAAAACAUCUCCACAUGUAUCUGGUGGGAUACGGAGUCCCUCUCGUCAUCGUCAUCAUCUCUGUCAUCGCCUUCCCAAAGGGAUACGGCACCAAACGACACUGCUGGCUCUCUCUCGAUCGCUAUUUUAUCUUGAGUUUUUUCGCACCCGUCUGCAUCAUUGUGAUCCUCAAUGGUUUUGUCUUCAUCAUCACCGUGUGGAAACUGGCUAAAAAGUUCUCCAGUCUCAAUCCAGACUUCUCCAAACUCAACCAGAUCAGGAGUUUCACGGUGACCGCCGUGGCUCAGUUGUGUGUUCUUGGAGGAACGUGGAUCUUCGGCUUCUUCCUCUUCCAGGAGAAAGGGACUGAAGUCAUGCUGUACCUCUUCAUCAUCCUCAACACUCUCCAGGGGGCGCUAAUCUUCAUCCUGCACUGCCUGCUGUCCAAACCGAUCAGGACAGAGUAUUACAGUCUGUUUGUCCGAAUGUGCCCACAUAAGAAGAAAGCCAAAUACAGAAUCAGUACCAGCCAGACCAACAGCAGUCAGAAACCUCUGCGGAGCGACGGCAGCACAGCAGAGUCACAGAUGUAAAGCACUUGUUUUGUACAAACUCUUCAACACAAGACACAAAGACUUUCUGUGUCAAAUGAAGACAUUUCACAAGCUUUAACUCAACAGUACACGUUCACAGUCGUCAUCUGAUGAAUACUGCUGCUUGUUCAUCAUCUGUUACUGGAGACGGAGAUGUAGGAUUGUUCUAUAGACUUGACUCCAUUCUUUGAAUCGAGUAUUUAGGUUGCUUCUGUUUUCGGCUUUUCUUUUCUUUGCGGGCGAGUGUAAAGUUUUUUACACUAUACAUUUUUAGAUGCAGAAGGAAACAUUGUUUUAUAAUGAUGAAUGUUGUAUUGUGUUGAGGGAGAGCAUAGUUUGUCAAUUAAUGAAGUCAUUCUUUAGAAGCGAGGCCAUAACCAUGUCAAAACAUCCUGAUUUUUAGCUCACGAGUAUUUCUAACCUGUGUAUUUUCUCUUGUUUCUGCCUCCAUUAUACAGGAAUGUAAUGACUGUAACAACCAAAAGUGAUAUGUCUGUUUAUAUUAUAUUACAUUACAUUGGUAAAGGUUAUGCAAUUUUCUAUAUGCAAACUAAAAUUAAUUACUUUAUUUUAAUGAGGGACAUGGGAAUAAAUGGGCAUACAUUAAUAAUUGUCAUGUUAUUUAUUAAAAUCUGGCUCAAAACUUUUUAUUAUUCUUAAAUAAUUUGAAGAUUAAUAUUCAUAAACUGUGCAUUUGGUCUCUCUGUACAUAACCUUUACAUAUUAGCACGUUGACGAGGACACGAGUGCAGAAAGUGCUGGAAAGUGGACAUGCUGAGUCACACAGAGCAGGAGCUGACACAAGCUCCUGCUCAAAACUCUGGCCGUUUGAUAAUACCUAGAAUAUCAAAAUUGACUGCGGGUGGCAGAUCCUAUUCCUAUUUAGCACCCAAACUCUGGAACAAUCUACCUAACACUGUUCGGGAGGCAGACACACUCUGUUAGUUUAAAUCUAGAUUAAAGACCCAUCUCUUUAGCCUGGCGUACACAUAACACAUUAAUAGAUCAACCGGAACCGGGAACACUCCCCAUAACACUCGAUGUACUCGUUACAUCGUAAGUUGAAUGGCAUCUACACUAAUAUUUGUCUGUUUCUUUCCUAGUCUGUUUCUCAGUCCGUAUCCGAUCAGAUGGUGGAUCAGCACCAAGAGAUGAUGUCUACAGAGGCGCGCACGUUGAGCAUUCAAAUCGCAUUUAAACUGGAGAGGAGGGAGUUACCAUGGAAACGGGCGUCAACUCACUCAGCUGACAA